GCAAGAUACAAUGUGUGGGAGGGCUGGAAAGAGAAGAAAAUACACUGCCAGCCACCAGUCUCCAUGGAUUAUUAAAUGUCAAAACCCUUGGCCAUCUGGUGAUGUCGUCAGAACCCAUUCCUAGGGCUGCUUUGAAAGGCCCUUGCAUAACAUGCUAUGCUACAAAAGAGUGAGUUGGAGCUGUGUACCAUUUCUUCGAGGCAGAAGAGCUCUCAGCAGGGCAGGAUUGUGCGGCCCUGCUGCCUGCAGGGGAACGCAAAGAGGGCUGGUAGCCUGGCAGCUGGUGCAUUUGGAGAGCCAACUUGUCAGAGACAGAGAACAAAAACAGAUGUUUAAGACACCCAUUGAAGACCUG
ensembl:lncRNA